rnacentral:misc_RNA from 1 species
UUUUUUUUUUUUUCUCUCUCUUUUCUUCACUUAUUUUGCGUUAGAGUUAAGUCUUUCAAGAAAUGCAUUUAGCCUCAAUUUUAGAUAGUUAUGCUACGUUGGGUUCUUUGUUUGGACAUUUAACACUACUGCAGGAUGAAGCAAUUAGGGUUCUAUUCUGCAAUUAGAGUUUGAAUUCAAUUAUGUGUUGUUGCCUAAGUAUUAUUGUUUCAACUCAGGAUUAUUUGCAUCUUGAUUUGUAUGAAAUGCUUUUCUUUUAUUUGGCUGGAGUCUUGCCACUGAUUAAUGCCUCGUUUAGUAUGAUGCAGUUAUAGGAAGUUGGUUUUCUGAGUUGAAGAUGCAUAUGGUAGUAAAAUUGGUAAAACAAUAAAUAGCUCCAAUUUUGUGCCUUGUAUUCUUUCGCAAAUUGAGCUUCUGAAUCAACAUUCAAUAAGUUGUUCUUGUGCAAGUGUUGAAAAUUUGCGAUUUAUAGAGUGCAGCCGUGAAAUUGCAAUGCAACUUGUUGCAUCCAUGGAGACCCUGGCACAAAUUAACUGGCGAUGAACAUUAAUUUAAUCAAUGGUAAAGAGGAGUUUACUUGGUGAUACUUUUCCCCCGUUUCUCUUGAACAAAAGCGUUGUGCAUUCUUGUUUUGAUAUCUCUAUUAACAUAGUAUGCAUUUGUUUGGGAUGCUAUGUAUAUUUUUGGAGUUUUUUCUUUGUGGAAAUGGUAUCUGAAGAUUAUCUGGCAUGCUUGAUGGUCCUGGUACACUUAGAUAUUCCAAAUUUAAGAAAAUAGCUAUUGCCUCUCUGCCAUUUUGAUGGACAGAUUCAGAAACCAGCCUUCCAGUGCUUUUAUGGUUGGCAAUUAUCAAUUAAUUGAUGAGUUCUAGGUUCAGAAUUAAAGAAGAAAGGAGUAUGAGCUUAGGAAACUAAUUUGGUGGCCUUUUUUGAAGCUAUGAGCGCUACCUAUGAUACUGUAGCAGCAGAAAUAUGAAAGAAAGAAAAGGAGAAGAGAAAGGUAAUAGAAAUGAGGGAUUCUUAGGCAUAUGUGCCUUUAAACCAAAUCAAAACACUGAAGUUCCAUUAUCAAAAGCCUAAAAGGUAAGGAACUAACUAUUUGCAUGUGUGUACAAAGAGAUUUAAUUACUAAUCCUAUUGCUGUUAGGAUUACGAAUCCCAAACUAGGAAAUUCUGAACCAAUCCUAAAUAGGAAGCAAGUAAAAUUUCUAAAUAAGAUAACUCCUGAAAUUUUAGAAGAAGAAAAAUUCUUCCUAAUUUGGAAGAAUAGAAGUUUUAUGAUAUUCCUAAACAAAAAAACCUAAAUUAUAAAAACUAAGAACUAAAUCAGAAUAACUUAAUUUCUUUUUAAUGGAUUGCUUUACCUCUCCCUCACCCUUAGGCACUGUUAAAUUAAGUUUUUGCAUGUGCAAUGACAACCAGGGGAAGAAACAUAAAAAUUGUGUACUUUGUUGAGAGGGCUUCUCCUCUUUUUGUUUUUGUUAAAUCUAAAUAUUAAACGGUGGGAGGUCCCCAUCCUGUUGUCAUGAAUGUGUGACCUUCUAGCCGAAGUCUAAAGUUUUGGCCACUGGCCUCUUGAGUGUUUAUAUAUGUGAAUGGAAUUUGAACUAUGAUGUGAUUCAGAUGAUUUUGAUUCCAUACAAUGAUAAUGGAAUUGCAUUUUUCAGUCUAAACAAAGCUGUAUGUAAAUAUUGUCACAGGUCCAUUUGGUCAGGGUCAGAUGCAGAAGCCUUUUGAAGAUGCAACAUUUGCUCUUAAGGUUGGUGAGAUAAGUGACAUCGUGGACACUGACAGUGGGGUGCACAUUAUCAUGAGAACUGGUUAAUUACAGAAGUAUUGAAUAUAUCCAAUGAUUUUUCAGUAUACUUGUCAAACAGAUGACAAGAUUGCAUUUUGCUUUCAGUUAACUUAAUGCCACCAUAUUGUGGUGCUACUUCUUGGGUUCUUGUUGUGUGAGAUAUUGACUUAUUGAUGCAUUGUUCGCUUGCACUAGUCUGAUUCGAAUGCUUGGGAUUACAUUGCCCCUGAAAAUUUCUGGUUGUGGUUUGAGAUAAUUUGACUGACUAUGAUAAGGACUUUUAUUUUAAGCUUUGUUUAUAUCUAGUAUGUAAUUUUGUCAGGAUUUUUAUUACUUGCGGGACACAAAUGCAGGAUAAUUCAGCGAAUGGGAGCUUAUUUUUCUAAUUAAAAAACAAUCUUAAAGCACAACCAUGUAAAACUUAUGC